rnacentral:lncRNA from 1 species
UGUAGAAGAUCUCCUAUAUUGACCACGAGUGCUCCGGGAGUAGGGGGAACAUCUACCCAAUGGUUCUGAUGUAGGACUUGGAGACCGCCUAUGUUGUCUUGGAGAAGCACGGUGAGGAAGUCGUUGUCAGCAUGCUUACUGGUGCCUAGAGUAAGUUCAGGUUGUGGACAUGCUGGAUAAUAUUGGCCUAUAGCAAGAAGCCCCUCUGCACAACCCAUAUCCUUGAGGUGAUUUGGUUCUAGGCCAAUAGCCUCGGACACUAGUUCAAAUAGAGUGUCACCUAAUGUCAUCACUUGGUUCGUGUACUCAAGGAGAAUAUCCCUAUCACAAAUGCACAAUAAGAAAAUUAAAAUACAAUACAAUAUUCAAACCUCUCUAUAACGAUGUUAUUUGUUUGACCAUAAUACUUGCAGACAGAAGGGAGUUGUUCGGGCUUUGGAGGUAUAGGAGCUAUAGUGGCACGAAAAGUGUCCCUCCAGUUGGUUACUGGUGCUCUAAACAGAUCAAAAUUGCUGUUAAAUGUGAACUCUUUUGUCAAGUCUCGCGUAUACCACUGCUUCUUCACCUCAGUAUCUUGCUCAAAGAACCUGGUAACACCGUCUUUCAUUGCCUCCAUAACAUGACUAGGAAUCCCAUGAUUGAUCACUUGAAAGAAACCCCAACUCUCUGAUGCAUGACCAACUUCUUGGACUAUGUUCUUUCGUUUGAUCGGAUCUUCCAUGAUGCCAUCAAGAUCAAUUAUUGGAAACUUGAUGAACUUGUUGUUGUUGUGACAUCUCCAAUCUUCAACCUUUAAUGGUUGUACAAACAUUGAUGGUACUUUGAUUAUACCUGCAUCGACUAGUCCCUUAACACCGGCUUUCGUCUUAUCAAAGGCUUGUAGUUCAGCCAUUCUUUCAUACUUUGCUUCAUUUGUGUUGAUCUUCAUCACUCCCAUUUUUCUUAUGCUUUUGUCUAAAUCUCAGAUUUUAAGUUAAGUCUACCUUGUAAAAGUUAAAGAUACACAUAACACAUAUAUACAAAUUAAUUUGCACAUCACCUAAAUUAAUUAAUUAAAAAUAGGAAAAAUUACUUGGAUGAGUACCUUUUAAUAAAUGAUUACUGGUUGUAGCGAUAUUUUUUAUUUAUUACCAUUUAUAGCAAUACUAUGUUAAAUCUGCAAUAUGUAUUAAAAGUGAAUUAUGUAUGCAUACAUAUUAUAACUGUUUUGUUUAAAUAUAUUAUGCUUGUUUGGUAAGAAAUUGACACAUUGUAUUAUAAGUGUAUUAAAAUGUGUGAUAAAUAUAUUAUUCAUCAAUAAAACUUGUAUUAUAUGUGAAUAAUAAAUUGUUCUUUGUAAUAUACAUUAAAACUAUAUUAUAAAUGUAUUAAAAAUGAUCAAGUGAAAAAAAAAAUAUUAUUGCUAUAAAUGGUAAAUAUUUUUUUAAUAUAGUAUAUUUAUGUAAGUUUCCUUAAAAAUAAUGCUUCUGCUAGUUGAUAAUAUUCCACGUGAUAUGAAUGAAAUAAGAAUAAUUUCAGUCUAUAGUUUUGUCCUAUAUAUAUUAUGGUAUUUAUAUUAUUUGUACAUUUUUAACAUAGAUGAGUCAAAUUUUUAACUGAUAACAUGUGAAAAAGUUAAAGUUGAAUUUUUUGGAAUAUCAUAAAUUGUUCUAGUAAAGUUUCUAGAAUAGUCUAGUGUAGAUCUAGAAUAAACAUCUCGUAGAAAUAUUCAGAGUAGAAGAUAGAGAAUUUUCUUGUAGAUGUUCUAGAGAAUCAAAUAAUUGUAGAAAAUCAUAAAAUAGUUUAGAUCUCAUUGUAUCUAGAACCAUCCAUGUUAAGUAUAAACACGGAAUGAUCUUGUACAUAGCUAAGUCUUCCAAACUCUUCCUUCUCCUUUCUAGCUUCCUCUUCUUUAGUUGAAUCUUCCGACCUUAGUUAACGAUCUUGGGCUAGCAGAAUGUUUUCCGAUUAUACCAUUCUUCUACUAUUCUGAUCUACAUGGCAUAAAUAAGUAUUUUCUCAUUGAUUUUCGAGCAUGUAUGUUGUUAAUGGUGUUGACACCCAAUUUUGGACCUCCACAAUAUAAAUUAAUCAUCGAGCUUCUUAAAAAUUUCAAACUAUUUGAAAUAAUUGACUUUAUAAAAUUCAAAUUAUUUUCAAGUUAGUUUUAUGUAAUUUUAUCACGUUUUGGAAUAUAUAUAUAUAUAUAUAUAUAUAUAUAUUAUAUAAUUAGCAUAUUUUAUAAAUAUACGAAAAUCAUCUCAAUUUUUUUAUUUGCUUUAAUUAAAUAUUCGGUUAAUUAGUUUAGUUAUAUAAUAGUUUAUAUUUUUAAACUAUUUGGUUUAUAAUUAAGUUAAUUAUUUUAUUUCGUUAAGAUCAAGAAGCUCAUUAAUUAAUUUAUAUUAAUUCGUCUUAUUUAAUUACUAGCCGAAUUUACUAAAUGAAUUCAAUUUGGCUACAUUCAUAAUUCAUCGGCUAAAUUCGUAAUACAAUUGACCACUCAAUUCGAUUAAAAUUGUAACUUACUAGCCAUUCCUUUUCCAAUUCCCUGGGCCCAAUCCUUUUUCCAAUUCCCAUACUCUAGCCCAUUCUUUCUUUUAGCCCAAAUUCCCAACCCAAUUAUUUUCUAACAAGAGAAACUCCAGCAAAACGUUCAGAACAUUCCAGUUCAUAAAUAAAUGGUUAGUUUUUCCCUCUUUUAACAUUAGUAUUGUCAAUCGAACAUGAUUUUUGACCAAAAAUGUAUUUGUCAUGUUUAAAAGGAUCUUACGUCAUUGCUCUUCGUUAAUAUAUAUGAUAUACUUGCAUGCUGUCUACUUUCUUUUGAGGCUGGAAAUUUUCUUUUUUCUUUAUUAUUUAUGAUAAAACUUAUUUGUCCCGUAUUUGCUUCCCAAUAUGUCAUGGCAAUGCCCCCUUUAUCUUAUUUUUUGGGAAGCCGGUUAAGUCAUCAUUUUGAUAUUAUUUGUUGCGUAAAAAUGUUACAGCCCCUUCCUCUUCUCUCUUUUAACAUACUAAUCUCUAUUCCUUUUGUCGUUGCAUGUAAAUCUGUAUGAGUUCCCCGUGAACUCCUAUUUUUCUUUCCCCACAUUUCAAGACGGAGCCAUAAGAGGCUCAAAUCCUUUAUGUUGAGUCAACUGUGUCAGCAAAAAUGGUGUACAGGUUAAAAGUAGCAAGACAGUACUGGAAAUUAAAUUUUCUAGCUCCGGAAAGGUCGAAAAUAGGCUGCGUACCUGCUGUAUACAGCAGUAUACAGACGGAAAUGAAGUAUACGGGUUUGAAAAAAUGAAAAUACAGGUUGCAGGCGUCAAAAGGAUUGUAUACAGUCUUAUAUACAAAAAAAUGGGUUGUAUUCAUCCGAUAUACACUGAUAUACAACCAGUGUAUACAAAAACGGGAAUUGAGCCUAAGCCCAAAAUCAGCAGCGAAUUUGGCCCAAGAAGGGCCCAAAUUCAAUUUUUCCCGACUCUUUAAUUAUUUAAUUAUGAUUAUUUAUUGUUUGUUGUGUGAUGACUCUAACUUUUAAAAUUGUUAACUAACCUAAUUAAAUUCCCCAAACGAUAAGUUAUUUUCUUUGUAAUGGCUUACUUUUAAUGCAUUCUUUUAUUUGUUUUUGUAUUCAUUUGUCUUACUAAUCAAAUAUAUCAGCCAUAUUUUAUUUUAAUUAAAUCUUUUGUUCUUUAAAAGAUAUGUUUUGAAUGCCUCUUCCUUUAACCAUCUUGCUUAUUUAAAUGGUUUUAAGUUAACACUUUUCUCAAAUGAACCAAAAAUAAAAUUGUGCGUGUUCUGUUUUUACCAAUUGAUUUAAAAUGGUCUCACGCUUUAAUUUAUUAAAUUGGUUCAAAUUAUUAUUUUAAAAAUGAAUUAAAUAAAUUUUAAUUAAUCUAGUUUUAUUAAAAUUCUAAUCACUUUGUGUCACAAGCCAAAUGUGUCAUUUUGAAUUUCUUUUCUCCAAAAUAAAAUUAAAAAAAUGUGUCGUUUAUCUAAUUAUUUUCUCAAAAUUAAUUAAAUAUUGUAAUUUAUUUAAUAUUCCUAUGUUAAAUUUCUCAAAAUUAGUCAAAGCUAUUUUUAGUCAAAUCGCCGGUCAACCGCAAGUUAGCGGGCAUUCCGAGGGCCUAACACCUUCUCGGAAUGUACAUUGAACUCGAACCCUUUUCAAUCGAUUUUAUCUGUUUAGAUCUUUUGAAAGCUUUAGGUUUUUUUUCUUGAUUUUUACUAAAAAAUUAAGUGGCGACUCUGUUCUUUUGAGAAUACGAUUUGCUUAAAUCGUAAGUUUAAUCGAUUCUUAGAAAACUCAGUCAUUUUCCUUUUACAUAUCUUUUUAAAUAAAACAAAUGGAAUCAUGAAGAUUUGUUGUCUAAUCUUGGCAUAAAUAAGUAUUUUCUCAUUGAUUUCCGAACAUGUAUGUUGUUAAAGGAAUCACGAAGAUUUGUUGUCUAAUCUUGGCAUAAAUAAGUAUUUUCUCAUUGAUUUUCGAACAUGUAUGUUGUUAAUGGAAUCACAAAGAUUUGUUGUCUAAUCUUGACAUAAAUAAGUAUUUUCUCAUUGAUUUCCGAACAUGUAUGUUGUUAAAGGAAUCACGAAGAUUUGUUGUCUAAUCUUGGCAUAAAUAAGUAUUUUCUCAUUGAUUUCCGAACAUGUAUGUUGAGUUAUUAAUGGAAUCACGAAGAUUUGUUGUCUAAUCUUGUUGCAUUUGUUUACUAAUUAAGCAUUAGAUCUCUAAUUAACCUAAUUAUUAUAAUUAAAUUGCUCAUUUUUUAAGAUCAGUUCUAAGUUAAAAAAUAAAGCUUCUGCUAGUUGAUACUGACAUUUAGCCCAUAAUGGAAUCACGAAGAUUUGUUGUCUAAUCUUGUUGCAUUUGUUUACUAAAUUGGCAUUAUUAGAUCUCUAAUUGACCUAAUUAUUAUAAUUAAAUUGCUAAGAUUUUAAUAAGUAUUAUUUAGCCCAUAAAGUACAGAUUUUAGUUGAUACUUUUGUUAAUAAAACACAUGUGCAACACACGUAUUUAAGAACUAGUACUACAUUAUAUUAAAAGCAUAAACUUCUAAACUUGAAUGUUAAAUUACUAUAAUGUCCCCAACCAGUGGCGGAGCCAGGAUGUUCGCGAAGGGGGUUCGAAGUAUAAAGUAAUAAACACGUGAGAUGGGAAAGAAAAAUAUUAAUCUUAACUCGCUAAAUUUAACUUGUCUUGUUAUGCCGCGUUUAGGUUCUUCUUACUUUUUACCCUGCUCCAUCGAGGUUUUUUUUUCAAACUCCUGUGCUCUUUUUUUCUUUAAGUUUUGUUGUGUUUUAUUUUAUUUUGAUUUUUUUUAUAAAAAAAAUUAUGAUAUGUUACUAUAAAAUCCACCAAGAUUUUUUAAAAGGGGUAAAAGUUGACAUAUUUAGAAAAUAAAUAAAUGACAUCAUCAUAUUUUUUAGUUCAUUUAAUUCAAUUUACUAGGUUAGUCAUUUGUAAAAAAACAAAUGAUCAAUAAAUCAAAUAAGAUUAGUUUAAUUUUCAUCUCCUUAGAAUAAAAUUGAAAAAAAGAAACAAUGAAAUUAAAGAAAGAAAAUUAAAUUAAAUAGAUUUGUUAAAAAAAUAUUCACAAUUUUAAUAUUUCUUCAUUCGGUUAAAUUUAAUAUACUUUAUUUUAUAUAAAUAUUUUUUCUAACUCAAUUUAAAAUUUAAUAAAAAUUUAUCGUUUUUUCAACUUAGUACACAAAAAGAGAACUAUGUAGAAACAAAAUGAAAAAUAUAAAUAAGAAGAAUAAAAGAAAAAUUUACAAAGAAUGUUGCUAAUAAAUUUAAACAAAGACAAAUUGAAAAAAAAAAAGAAAUAGCAUAAAAAGAAAAUAAUAAAAAAUAAAAAAGGAUAAAUCUUCACAUUGAACCAAUGAGGCCUUUUCAUUUGUUUGGGAAUCUGGGCCCAAAACUCCUCAACCUUUCUAAAGUAAAAAAAGAAGGGAAACUUACAUAAAUAUACUAUAUUAAAAAAAUAUUUACCAUUUAUAGCAAUAAUAUUUUUUUUCACUUGAUCAUUUUUAAUACAUUUAUAAUACAAUUUUAAUGCAUAUUACAAAGAACAAUUUAUUAUUCACAUAUAAUACAAGUUUUAUUGAUGAAUAAUACAUUUAUCACACAUUUUAAUACAAUUAUAAUACAAUGUGUCAAUUUCUUACCCAACAAGCAUAAUAUAUUUAAACAAAACAAUUAUAAUAUAUAUGCAUACAUAAUUUACUUAUAAUACAUAUUGCAGAUUUAACAUAGUAUUGCUAUAAAUGGUAAUAAAUAAAAAAUAUCGCUACAAUCAGUAAUCAUUUAUUAAAAGGUACUCAUCCAGGUAAUUUUUCCAAAAAAAACUAUUGCGCACAGUGAGAUUCAGACUUAGCCCUUUCCGGUAGAACUUGAACCCCUCGACCAUUCUGCUAUCAUUCUCUUUAGUGUUGAGGGGGUUCAUUUUAAUUAAUAUACCCAUAAAAUCAGAAUUUGACCUUACAUAUACAAUGUAAUUUUUCGACUAAUGGGGUUCGGGUAACCCCCUAGGUUCCACGUAGCUCCGCCCAUGUCCCCAACUUAAAACACUCAUACAACAUUUCACAUUGAACGGUUGUGACUUUUCCAAAGAGUUGUGAUCUUUUCAAUGAGUUGUGACAUUUUCAAAUGGUUUGUAACCUUUCUAAUAAACACAUGUUUAUACUACCCUUUGUUGGCUAUAAAUUGUGGAUUUCCUCACAUUUUUAAACCAUGAAUUUUCGGUUCUUCUUCUUCUUAAAACAUCCAAUUUAGUAUAUCUUCUAUAUUUUAUAUUAUAUUAUAUUUAUUUAUUUUAAUAAUUAUAUUACAUUAAAAGAAGACAACUUUUCACAUUGAAGGAUUGUGACUUUUCUGAAUGGUUGUGACUUUCCUAAGGAAUUGUAACAUUUCCGAAGGGUUGUGACUUUUCUGAUAAGGCAGAAUAACCACAUGUUCAUACUACCCGUUGUUGGCUAUAGAUUGUAACAUCCCGCCUUAGAAAGAACUAGAAUUAGAAAGAACUAUUUUUGGAAAGAGCAAAUUUGAAAAUUUUGGCAAGUUAUGCUAAGUAUGAGUUUUGGGUCAACUUCAAACGACCAUAACUUUCAGUACGUGAUGAGUUAGGUGGCCUAUAAGAUAUCAAAUGAAAGGUCUAGGAAUCCUCUUUCCAACACCACCAAGUUUGCUAAUUUUUGAGCUCGUAUGAAGGAUAAAUGCCCGUUUGAAGUCGGGCUGUCUAGAUAAGAAAAGUUACCCGGAUUUAAGAGGGGUAUUUUGGUCUUUUCCUUACCCAAUUAAGUUAUUUCAUUUUUAGUAAUUUAUUUGGGGUCUAAACUGAAUUGGUUCAGUUUACGCACUCAAAAUUUACGCUAGGGUUUUGGAAAAAGGUUCAAGAAGAGAAAAGAGGAGAAAGGACAAGAUUUCGUCAAGUUCUUGAGAUUUUUGUUGCGGAUUUCGCCAAGGGUUGAUCCCUAAAGAGGUAUGUGAGUUCACAUAGCGUUGGGUUCGUUCACCUUGUCCCAAUAGCUUCGUUCUUGAUCUCAUCACUCUUAGUAUGCCCACACAUCUAUCUCAACAUCCUUAUUUCUGCUACUCUCAUCUUCUGGACAUCCGAGUUUUUAACCGGUCAAUCAACACUCCUCCCAUACUACAUAGAUAGUCUGACCAUCACUAUAUAAAACUUAUCUUUAAGGCUAGGUGGAACCUUCUUAUUACACAAGAGAUUGGAUGCCAACUUCCAUUUCACCACUCCAAUACGAUUGGUAACGCCAUCAUCAAUCUCCCACUUCCUUGGAUUAUUGACCACAUAUACUUGAAAUGUCCUUUCUUGGAAAUGACUUGGGUUUCAAUCCUUACAUCAACAUUUGUCACGUGAGUUACAUCACUCAAUUUACACUCCAAAUAUUUUGUCUUAGUCCUACUCAACCUAUAAACCCUUUAAACUCCAGGGUCUGUCUCCAAACCUCCAACCUAUAAACCCUUUAGACUACAAGGUUUGUCUCUAUAUCUCCAACCUAUCGUUAACUCAGUCGCGUGUCUCAUCAAUCAACAUUAUUUUAUCUUUACACCAUGACACCUCUCAUUGAAUAUGCCGCACCAGUACAUCUAUCACCAAAGCAAAUAGAAACAGGUUAAUAGUUAAUCCCCAGCGACAACCCAUUACGAAUGGAAAAUGAUCCGAGUCUUCUCCCAGUGUCCUUACUCGGUCUUGGCUUCAUCACACAUAUCCUCAAUUGCUCUAAUGUAAGCUACAACUUUAGCCUCCUAACACCUCCAAAGAUCCCCCUAAGGACUUUAGCAUAAGCUUUUUCUAUGUCAAUGAAAACCGUAUGUAAAUCCCUCUUCAUCUCCCUAUGAGUAAUGAACAUAACAAGAAGUGCAUCUAAAUCAUAAUCAUGAAAAUUACUUGCUAUGAGUAGAACUUAUUGAUGGUUACAUAAUGAACAUACAUAGUUUGACAUAUAUAGUUUUACAAAUCUUUGUUUGAUAAAAUAUCUAUCAUUUCCACAACUACUCCAACACACACCUUACCUAUUAUAAUUGAACCAAUAAUUGCUUGAACUAUUUGGUUUAAAGUCUAAAAUGCAACAGAGUGGAAGUGCCAUCCAGCCCUUUGUUAUUGAAAUAAGUUGUGAACUCCUUAAUCGUCGUUUCCCUGUACUUUGGAGGAUUGUGUUCUGAUAUCAGCUCCUUUAUAGGUCCAUACAACCUUUGUGUUGGAACAAAAUUUGUCAUGAAGAAGCAUGCCAACGAUACCCUUGGACCGACCUUAUUAGCCAGUACUCUAUGAUCAACACUUUUGAACUUGUCAUUUGAUAUAAGCUGAAAAUGAUUGAGUCAAAAGUAUCAUAAGUGAUAAGAAAUGUAUGUUUCUAAACAGGUAUGCUUAAAUGCAAAACUACUUGCCUGUAGAAUAUCUCCUAUAUUCACCACGAGAGCUCCGGGAGUAGGGGGAACAUCUACCCAAUGGUUCUGAUGUAGGACUUGGAGACCGCCUAUGUUGUCUUGGAGAAGCACGGUGAGGAAGUCAUUGUCAGCAUGCUUACUGGUGCCUAGAGUUAGUUCAGGUUGUGGACAUUCUGGAUAAUAAUGGCCUAAUGCCAUAAGACCCUCGGCACAACCCAUAUCCUUGAGGUGGUUUGGUUCGAGGCCAAUAGCUUCAGACAGUAUUCCAAAUAGAGUAUCACCUAACUUUAUCACUUGGUUUGUGUACUCAAGGAGAACAUCCCU